UUGUUUAAGAGGGGGCUCGAGUGUUUUGAAUUUUUAGAGGUUGAAAAAAGACUCAAAAUAUUCAAUAUUGUUAUAAAAUGACCUGAAAUAUGUGCGAAUAUUGAGCUGCACGUAAAGUAGAUGAGACACAGUAUUUAACGAGGUUCGGCUAUGCCUACAUCCCCGGAGAGCAGCAGUAGUAACUUUUCCACUAUGUAAAAUAAUAGGGCUACAACUUUAGAGUUUACAAUAUGUAAGGCUCACUGAAUUUUCUCUCUGCUCACUCACCCUAUUUCUUCCUUCUCUUCCUCUUCUCUGCCUGACUCUCUUUCCUCUUUUCUUUCCUCCUUUCCCUUUCCUCUUCUCUUUCCUCCUUUCCCUUUCUUCUUCUCUUUCCUCCUUUCUCUUUCUUCUCUCUUUCCUUCUUUCCUUUUCUUCUCCCCGUUUCCUAUCUCUUUCUCUCUUCUUCUUUUCCUCUCUUCUUUCUCUCUUCUUCUUUCUCUAUCCGUGAGUGUGCAGCCAAAUACUUUGCUUAAUUUUCUUUGUGGGCCCCAUAAAUGUGGGCUCCACAUGUUUCUUCUUUACAACACUCCCCCUUGGAGACCACAUGUCCCUAGAUUGGUUGCCUCAUUAAAAUCUUGUUUGGAGAAAACCUAGUAAGGUAGAGAACUGAUGGAAGGAAGAAAAAAAAAAGAGUACAACAAUUUGUAUAGCAUACUUCUGGAUGCUCCCCCUGAUUAAUAUCUCCCCCUGAUGUCUUCAUAACUAUCUUUGGAGUGAGAAUCUUUCGGAGUGAGUGAAUGAUGUAGCCACCAACAAUUCAUAUAGUAAAUAUAUUUCCAGUGAGCUAUCUCUAUGUAAAUCAUAGAAAUUUUCAGAGUCCGCGUUUCCAACAAAACCUGGGCUAUUUGUAAGAUCAUAUGGAAGAAUAUGCCCAUACAUGGUGUUAUGCGAAGAUAGCAUCAAAUAUACCUCACAUCAUCCCAAAAUGAUGGUGAUGGAGUUGAGCCUUAUCUGGAAAAUAUGAUGUCCGGUCCAAUAUACUUCCGGAAAAUCAUUAAAGUGUCCAACGGAUAAUCCUCAUAAAAAUGCUUCAAUACUUUCUUAGUAUAAGCAAUAAUCUCGUUGGUAUAAUGCUCGAUCCUUAAGUCGAGACAAAUAUUUCUUGAAUUCUGCAGAAUCUUUAAUGUGUUGCAAUCACAUCAAUGUACUCACUGAGGUAAUUUAUGCAUAUUAAUAUUGAGUACAAAUUUUGUGCUUCAAGCACAUGUCCUUUAGGGACUUGCUUUAUGCAAUGUCAAUCCUCUCAACGGAUUUUGUUUAAAAGGGAUAAAACUUUAUGACACAUUAUAUAGCUUUAACUCAGCUAUUUAUACAUCUUUAGGAAAUCGCUUCUGGCGAUAUGCUCCGUGCAUUUAAUAACUCUUAAAGAUAAUAUGUUGGUCUCCGUAAUUGUGUAAUAAGGGGGGCACAAUUGAAUCUGUAAAUAUGGAGAAAACCCAACAUUCCUUGUUUCUGCCAGAAACAUUGUGUCAUACAAAGUAGGUAUAUUCCCUUUUAUUCCGAACACCCAAGUAUAACUUUUAGUAUUGACAAAUUUGGGGUUCGUACUGUGGGUUUGUUCUUUCACGUUCAUUCUCAUUUAUAAUGGAAUUACCUCGUUCCAUUUUGGCCAAUAAUAUUGUCGACAUUUAAUAAUUGAACGUGGUUCCAAUCAACACAGCCCAUUGAUGAUUUGAGUAGCUACUCCAAAAUCAAAAAUUGUCAUUCAUCAAUUCAUGAUCCCACCAUUCUCAUGUGCAUGCGCAUGCAUCAAUUAUAAGCAUUUCUUUGCUUUUUGGUACCCAAGCCACUUCAGGGGGCUUUUAUUAUGUGAGAAUGUGGAUUAUAACCUCCAAUGGAGCGUUAUUUUAUAGUAGGGCGUGGAUAAUCUCCAUUUAGGGAGUUGGAACAUUUAGAACCCAUAUAUCUGUCAUGCUGCAGGCAUGCCACAGAUUAAUACAUACAUGUCAAUUAAUUUAUGGGACUUUAACCCAUAUUAUGGGACUUUAACCCAUAUAAUUUGCUACGCAUUAGGCGUGCAUAAUAUCAAUAUUGACAUGUCAAAGGAUUGUCCUUUCGGGACUUCAAUCCACAUCAUUUGCUACGCAACAGGCGUGCAUCAUAUUGAUCACUGCUAUACCCAUAUUCUGUUCUUAUGGGACUUUACUCUGUGCAGUGUAUUAUCAAUGUAUCCAACUUGUAAUCUGUAAAAUUUGCGUUAAUAAUUCAUGGAUACAUACAAGCCAUUCUUUUGGAACGGACUUAUCUCCCCAUUUGGUUACCUUUCAAGAUAAAAUAUCAAAUAGGUAUAUAAGCAUAAAAUAACACAAGUAUUGCUUACAUCCUUAGGUGGGAGAAACUUUUCUCAAGUAUCAUUCAAGCUCGUAUCGGCCCAGUAAAUAUAAAGUAUCGCUUGAUGAUCUUGUUAUAUCCUACAAGAGCAAAAAUCACAAUUCUCUUCUCUGUCAAAAACAAAUAACUCUCAGAGUUAGGAUCACUGCAUAGAUUCAUUCUUCAGAUGUUCAUUCUAAAGAAAUAAAAUCUCUUAUGAACAGAGAGUUAUAAAAAGAAAGAAAAGAUACAAAAAUUGUGAUAUUGAUUGCAAGGUAAGGUAAGCAAUCAGGGAAGGAAGCUGGUGGGAGCAGACAAUAAGCUCUCAUAUCUCCUAGUCUAGAAGGACUUCCGGAGAUUAGAGCAUAAGGUCGCCUUCACAGUUCCCUGAUGUAGCGGAAACAUGAUCAGGGAUAGUCUUGCUUCCUGAAUGGAUGAUCAGAGAUAGUCUUGCUUCUCGGGCAUAUUGAGUGCUUACUGAUAAGAAAAACAAGUAUAUAUCGCAUCACUAGGUAUGGAGUAAACUGGAUGUCUUCUGCAAAGAAAAUUUCGUUAGUUACACAUUUAUACACAAAUACAAUGAAUAGGUAGAACCGGUGAAUUUCAAAUUAACCAUAGGAAAAUUGCGAGAUUCUCGGGAUGCUUUUGAAAAAGUAGCUCCGUGAAAUCCGUAAAGCAAGAUCGGCUUUGAAAAUAAUACUUGAAAACGCCGAAAGUGCCGACAGGCAUUAUUAGAGGCCACGUGAAGUUUUGGACUCUAGGAAAGAAAAAGAUAAUAUGGGGAUUCGAGAAGAUAUUGGGGUCUUGAAAAACAGUAGCCAUAUUUCCUCCUAUAGAUAUGGCCUUUGCAAAACUUGAUUGGAGCAACUGCGUUUCAACUCAAAUUUCUUCAUUUUCUGAAACUUUAGUUUUCCUAAGACUUUCUUCGAAACCUUCUCAAAAAUGGCUUCCUCUUCUUCCUGCCCAAAUUAUUUCAAUUUAAAUGAUGCUCCCACAACUACCAAUGAUGCCCAAGUUUGGCGUCCAUCCUUUGUAUCCCAAAAUCGUCAUCUCACAGUUAAUGAUUCUGUGAUGAUGAAUGAUGCUACUGCUGUCAUAGUAGCUAGGAAUUUCAUUACUCCGAUGGAUGAAAUGCUGUUAACAGGGAGGUCUGAGGAAGAGGCUAUUGAUGACUCAAUGGCUUUUAGCAUUCAGAGUGCUGCUUCUGUUUCUAACAUGGCUGAUCGUUUGCGUGCUAGAGCAAACGAGGUUGAGAAGCUGACAACUGAAAAUUCGUCUCUUCAAAGAAUGCUUCAUGAGUCUCAACAGGAGGUUGAGAAACUUAAAAGAGAGAAUAAUUCCUUGUUGAAACUGGUGAGUUCGUACUCUGUUGAUACACUGAGAAGGCUAGACAUGCUGCAGGUCUCCAAUGAAAGAAUUUUGGGAGACCACGAGAAGCUCAUGGCCAAGCUUAAGAGGCGCCGUACUCUUCCUUCAGAGGCUUCCAGAACAUAAUGUAAUUUUAUAGAUUUUACAGGGCCUGCACCUUCAUUGCAGGUGGAAAAAAUCUAUCUGUUGUAUGUUCCUGUAAUAAUAAUUGUGCACAUUCUUAAACUUGCACCUGUGGUUUUUACGUCUUUUCAAAAUGACGGUUUGGAACCUUGUGCCUUAUAGGUUCAAAUAACCACAUUGUCUCUCCCAAAUUGCAUGGUAGCCCGGAACUUUUGGCCUGGGCACAAACUCAGAAUUUAUUUGCCCUUUUCAAAUGGACAUGAAAUGUGAAUUGAGUAAAAGCCAUGAUAAUAUCACAAUAUAGUAGUGAAGAGCAUUAACUACUAUAUACCCACAACUUCAAGUUUAGGAUCUCUCAUAUAUUUGGAUCCAUGGGCUUCCGGCCCAGAUAUAACAAAAUAUGUGGGGAGCCUCAAUUCAUUAUUUGAGGUUUAUAUUGAUAUUAUCCAUUUCGCGGUGUAUUCUUAACAACCGGAAUUCACAAAAUAUAUUUCUUCCUUGAGGUGUCGAUUAUAACAAAAUCGAACUUUAAAUUCAUCAUCUUCUUAUGCCAAAGAAAUAUGUGGCAUACCACAAUUUGCAAUAAUACCUCAAGGGUUGUCCAUUUAAUUGUUGGAACUUCAGGUUCUCAACACUAUUAAAUUUUGAACUUCAGGCCAAAGCCACAUAUUCUCAUGGUAUGUACAUUUUUACAAUUUUCUGUACAUAUUUCGGGACUUCAAGCCCUUACAUAAUUGUCCAUAUUUUGAGGAACUUCUGGCAUCUCAUUUAAUUGCUCAUCCAUGAGUUUAAGGAACUACAGGUUCCCUUUUGUAUAUAGUGACGGUUUACCCAAAAUGGUUCAUAUUUAUGCAUACGUCACUAUUCAUGUGAAUAGUACUAUUCAUCAAGUCAUGAAUACGUAUCUAUUCAUCUGCCAGUACAGUUAUCAUCAAUGUGUACGGCACCAUGAAACUGCAGGUUCCCUUUUGUAUAUAGUGACGGUUUACCCAAAAUGGUUCAUAUUUAUGCAUACGUCACUAUUCAUGUGAAUAGUACUAUUCAUCAAGUCAUGAAUACGUAUCUAUUCAUCUGCCAGUACAGUUAUCAUCAAUGUGUACGGCACCACGAAACUGCAGGUUCCCUUUUGUAUAUAGUGACGGUUUACCAAAAAUGGUUCAUAUUUAUGCAUACGUCACUAUUCAUGUGAAUAGUACUAUUCAUCAAGUCAUGAAUACGUAUCUAUUCAUCUGCCAGUACAGUUAUCAUCAAUGUGCACGGCACUAUGAACCAAUACGGUACUGUUACAUCAUUAAGGAACUCUAGGUCCUUAUUUACAUGUCAGGGAUCAAGGACCCUUAAUUUCGAUCACAUGUUUACAAAUACAGUACCGGAGAGACUGCCAGCUCUCAUAUUAAUAUCAUCAUCAAGGAUCUUCAAGUCCUGAUGUAAUUGUAUGAUGAGGAUCAAGGAACUUCUGGUCCUGAUCUGCAUACUGUAAAAACUCAUCAUACAGCACAAUUAAUCCAUAAAAUAAAUUGCUGGUAAAUAAAUUACUGGUAUGGACGAUAAACCCGCAUCACACUUUAAAUAAAUGUAAAUGUGUGGUAAAUUAAAUUCAUAAAUUAAACGUGCGUGUAUGGGCACUAAUUCUGCUCCAUACUUUUAAAUGAAAGUAAAGGCGUGGACGAUAAACCCGCACCACCCUUUUAAAUAAAUACUGUUGUAUGGGUAAUAAACCUACACCAUACAGUAAAUAAAAUAAAUGUGCGGUAAAUUAAAUUCAUAAAUUAAAUUGCUUGCUGUAUGGACGUUAAUCCCGCACCAUACCUUAAAUAAAAUUAAAUGUGCGGUAAAGUAAACGUGCUUGUAUGGGCACUAAUUCUGCUCCAUACAUUUAAAUAAAAGCAAAGGCGUGGGCGAUAAACCCGCACCACCCUUUUAAAUAAAUACUGUUGUAUGGGUAAUAAACAUACACCAUACAGUAAAUAAAAUAAAUAUGGGGUUAAAACCACCACCGAAUAAAAUAAGAAAAAUGUUAGUAUUAGUAACGGUCUCCCACUGAUAAUAUGUUUAGUAUUACCAAUGGUCCAUUUUUGUUAGUGGUUAGUAAUAGAAAAGCAGAUAAAUAUAGUAUAUUAUAUUACCAUCAACUUUUCAUAUAUAUAAUAUAUAUAUAUAUAUAUUAUACUGAUAUAUUAGUGGAAAGCUAGAUGCGUUGGCUUUUCUUCUUUACAUUAACAUAAUGGUUAGUAGUAUAAAUAAUAGUGCAGCACAAAAAUUAUACCUGAGAGCUUCUCGUGCUGAUAACGUGUUAUAAAAUGACCUGGAAUAUGUGCGAAUAUUGAGCUGCACGUAAAGUAGAUGAGACACAGUAUUUAACGAGGUUCGGCUAUGCCUACAUCCCCGGAGAGCAGCAGUAGUAACUUUUCCACUAUGUAAAAUAAUAGGGCUACAACUUUAGAGUUUACAAUAUGUAAGGCUCACUGAAUUUUCUCUCUGCUCACUCACCCUAUUUCUUCCUUCUCUUCCUCUUCUCUGCCUGACUCUCUUUCCUCUUUUCUUUCCUCCUUUCCCUUUCCUCUUCUCUUUCCUCCUUUCCCUUUCUUCUUCUCUUUCCUCCUUUCUCUUUCUUCUCUCUUUCCUUCUUUCCUUUUCUUCUCCCCGUUUCCUAUCUCUUUCUCUCUUCUUCUUUUCCUCUCUUCUUUCUCUCUUCUUCUUUCUCUAUUUAUAGACAUGUUAAAUGGCACCCGUGUUUCUACAAUACACAUCCGUGAGUGUGCAGCCAAAUACUUUGCUUAAUUUUCUUUGUGGGCCCCAUAAAUGUGGG
rnacentral:lncRNA from 1 species